UACGUAGGGUGCGAGCGUUGUCCGGAAUUAUUGGGCGUAAAGGGCUCGUAGGCGGUCUGUCACGUCGGGAGUGAAAACCCAGGGCUCAACCCUGGGCCUGCUUCCGAUACGGGCAGACUAGAGGUAUGCAGGGGAGAAUGGAAUUCCUGGUGUAGCGGUGAAAUGCGCAGAUAUCAGGAGGAACACCGGUGGCGAAGGCGGCGAUCUGGACGAUGACUGACGCUGAUGCGCGAAAGCGUGGGGAGC
rnacentral:rRNA from 1 species